GACAGAGGUGCCAAGCGUUAGGCGGAAUCACUGGGCUUAAAGCGUGUGUAGGCGGAUCGUUAAGUACCUUGUGAAAUCCCACGGCUCAACCGUGGAACUGCUCGGUAUACUGCUUAUCUUGAGCCACUUAGGGGCUACCGGAACAAAUGGUGGAGCGGUGAAAUGCGUAGAUAUCAUUUGGAACGCCAAUGGUGAAAACAGGUAGCUGGGAGUGUGCUGACGCUGAGACACGAAAGCCAGGGGAGCGAACGGG
rnacentral:rRNA from 1 species